rnacentral:rRNA from 1 species
UACGUAGGGUGCGAGCGUUAAUCGGAAUUACUGGGCGUAAAGCGUGCGCAGGCGGUUAUGCAAGACAGAUGUGAAAUCCCCGGGCUCAACCUGGGAACUGCAUUUGUGACUGCAUAGCUAGAGUGCGGCAGAGGGAGAUGGAAUUCCGCGUGUAGCAGUGAAAUGCGUAGAUAUGCGGAGGGAACACCGAUGGCGAAGGCAAUCUCCUGGGCCUGCACUGACGCUCAUGCACGAAAGCGUGGGGGAGCAAACAGGAUUAGAAAACCCC